rnacentral:rRNA from 1 species
AUGUUUUCCAUCACUUGUAGUACGUACCGGACGCGGACUCUUAACUCUUCUGGCUUAGCCUACAAGUUUAUUCCGGCCGACGCGUAUAUGAUACGAUCGUUGCCCAGCUCGAUCGACCUCCUGCCCUUCGCCAUGGGAAACAUCAUAGGUUCUUCUCCGGCGAAACUCUACGCGCCCGAGACGUGGUCACGAUGUUACACGGAGGGCGACACCGUGAUACACAACUUCGAGAUCGCCGACUUCUCGCUGAUCGACGGCAUGGGCGCCGGCAGCUGGGUCACGUCGAGCACGUUCAGCGCCGGCGGAUGCGACUGGGACAUCAUGUUCUACCCCGACGGACUCAAGAAGAACGAGGCCGGAUGUGCCCACGCCGACACACCGGCGGCCUUCCUCCGUCUCCGUAGAGGACAACCAGGGGUGGAGGUGAUGACCAAGUACACUCUGAGCAUAUGGGGCAAGGAUGGCCAAGUCGUUGAGCAACCGAGCCUGCGGCACACCUUUACCUCCAUGGUUGCGAGCUGGGGCUACGAGGGCUUUGUUCCCAAGUCCAAGCUGCGUGCCCUCAAAGACGACUGCUUCACCAUCAGAUGUGUCUUCACGGUCUUGAAAGAGCGCCACAUCGAAGAUGUGAGCGCCUUCAUCGUCCCGAUCCCGCCGUCCAACUUUCACCAAGACUUUGGGAACAUGUUGAAGGACGGGGAAGGCACGGAUGUGACGUUCGUCGUGGGCGACCAAUCGUUUCAGGCUCAUAGAGCUGUGUUGGCCGCUCGGACGCCGUUCUUCAGGGCGGAGCUCUUCGGUCCGAUGAAAGAGAACAAUAUGCAGCGCAUCAACAUUGAUGACGUGGAGCCGUUUGUAUUCAAGGCGCUUCUUCACUUUAUAUACACAGACGCCCUGCCGGAUAAUCGCGAUGUCAGGAAGAACACGACACUGCAGCAUUUGAUGGUUGCCGCGGAUCGGUACGGGUUGGACAGGCUAGCGGCCAUGUGUGAAGGAGAGCUAUGCCGAGGCAUUGACGUGCAGACAGUUGCAACCACCCUAACUUUAGCGAAGCAGCAUUGUCGCGAGCGACUGAAAGACGUUUGCAUUGACUUUAUGUCUUCGCGGGAUGUGUUCGGUGAUGUCAAGAAGACCGAUGGAUUCAAGCACCUUGUGACAAGCUGUCCGGAGGUCAUGUCAGAAAUUUUACAAGAAAAUUUGCCGUUGCCAGAGGUGGUGCGGACCAAUCCGCGGAGGACACCCGGAUGGCUCAAGAGGCAGCAGCGCUCAUCGCAGGUCCGCCGUGCGGUUCUCGUCUCCGCUUGCGUCUUGGUGCCGGCGGCGGUGGUCUCUUGUCGAGUGUACAUGAGGCGCCGCUAG